GACUACCGGGGUAUCUAAGCCUGUUUGCUCCCCACGCUUUCGCACCUCAGCGUCAGUAUCGGACCAGUGAGCCGCCUUCGCCACUGGUGUUCUUCCUAAUAUCUACGAAUUCCACCUCUACACUAGGAGUUCCACUCACCUCUUCCGGACUCAAGAUCGCCAGUAUCGAGGGCAGUUCUGGAGUUGAGCUCCAGGAUUUCACCCCCGACUUAACGAUCCGCCUACGUGCGCUUUACGCCCAGUAAAUCCGAACAACGCUAGCCCCCUUCGUAUUACCGCGGCUGCUGGCACGAAGUUAGCCGGGGCUUCUUCUGUGGGUACCGUCAUUAUCGUCCCCACUGAAAGAGCUUUACAACCCUAAGGCCUUCAUCACUCACGCGGCAUGGCUGGAUCAGGCUUGCGCCCAUUGUCCAAUAUUCCCCACUGCAGCCCCCCGUAGG
rnacentral:rRNA from 1 species